rnacentral:sRNA from 2 species
AAUGUUCUUCGUUAGGUGAGGCUACUAUACAGACACAGGCCACUGCCCGGAAAUGUCGAGAGACAGUAACGGGUCAGCAGGUAUUACCGAAUUAAGGUUUUAUCUAAUGUGGCUGAGAAUACCUCUCUAGCUGUAUAGAGCCAAAACUGCACGAAUGAAGAAGGCG